AGCGAACGCUGGCGGCAGGCUUAACACAUGCAAGUCGAGCGGGCCCUUCGGGGUCAGCGGCGGACGGGUGAGUAACGCGUGGGAACGUGCCUUCUGGUCUGGAAUAACCCUGGGAAACUAGGGCUAAUACCGGAUACGCCCUUUUGGGGAAAGGUUUACUGCCGGAAGAUCGGCCCGCGUCUGAUUAGCUAGUUGGUGGGGUAACGGCCUACCAAGGCGACGAUCAGUAGCUGGUCUGAGAGGAUGAUCAGCCACACUGGGACUGAGACACGGCCCAGACCCCUACGGGAAGCAGCAGUGGGGAAUAUUGGACAAUGGGCGCAAGCCUGAUCCAGCCAUGCCGCGUGAGUGAUGAAGGCCUUAGGGUUGUAAAGCUCUUUUAUCCGGGACGAUAAUGACGGUACCGGAGGAAUAAGCCCCGGCUAACUUCGUG
rnacentral:rRNA from 1 species